CAGCUUCAACAGCGACUUCUACUGGUGAAACUUUGACAGCCAAAACAACUUCUUCAACAGCGACCUCUACUGGUGAAACUUUGAAUGCCAAAAAAACUUCUGUUCCUCAUACUGAUCACAUUCACUCUGAAGGCUCAUGGCUUUUAGUAGUGCUGGUUUUCACUGGUAUUGGUUUAUUUCUGUCUGGAUUCAUGGGAUUCAUCUGUCUCUGCCACUCU